UUUGAAGGAUAUUAGAGAAAUAAAUCCACUGACACAGGUUUCAUUUUGUAAAGUGGAAACCAAACACACACAUUUUGGAGCUUUCCUAAGGAGAUCAAGGACUGUUCCUACCUACUGAGCUACCGCAACAUUAGCAGUUCAGGAUGAUGUUCAAAAAGCAAUGCUUGUAUAAUGAGGGUACCAUCAGUCCCUUAUAUUUUUUAAUUAAAGUUCAUUCAAAGUGUGUACUCAAA